rnacentral:rRNA from 1 species
AAAAGUAAGUAAGGGCACAUGGCGGAUGCCUUGGCUCUCGGAGGCGAUGAAGGACGUGAUAAGCUGCGAUAAGCUGCGGGUAGGUGCAAAUGACCUUUGAUCCGCGGAUUUCCGAAUGGGACAACCCGGUACUUUGAAGAAGUAUCAUCCUGCAUUGCAGGAGGCUAACGCAGGGAACUGAAACAUCUUAGUACCUGCAGGAAAAGAAAAUAAACAAUGAUUCCCCCAGUAGUGGCGAGCGAACGGGGAACAGCCCAAACCACCCAUGUUACGGCAUGUGUGGGGUUGUAGGACCACGUCGUGGCAAGAAAGUUGGUGAGCAGAAUGUUCUGGAAAGUACAGCCAUAGAGCAUGACAGCUGCGUAUGCGAAGCCAAGCGAAGCCUAGUGGUAUCCUGAGUAGCGCGGAGCACGAGGAAUUCUGCGUGAAUCUGCCGGGACCAUCCGGUAAGGCUAAAUACUCCCGAGAGACCGAUAGUGAACCAGUACUGUGAAGGAAAGGUGAAAAGCACUUCGAACAGAAGAGUGAAAUAGUUCCUGAAACCAUGUGCCUACAAGCGGUCGGAGCACCUUCUGGUGUGACGGCGUGCCUUUUGCAUAAUGAACCUACGAGUUACUUUUUCCGGCGAGGUUAAGGAUUUCAGAUCUGCAGCCGAAGCGAAAGCGAGUCUGAACAGGGCGUAUAGUCGGAAGGAGUAGACGCGAAACCAAGUGAUCUACCCUUGGGCAGGUUGAAGGAUGGGUAACACCAUCUGGAGGACCGAACCAAUAAGCGUUGAAAAGCUUCUGGAUGACCUGAGGGUGGGGGUGAAAGGCUAAUCAAACUUGGAGAUAGCUCGUACUCCCCGAAAUGCAUUUAGGUGCAGCCUUGACUUAUACUGGCAUGAGGUAGAGCGACUGAUAAGAUGCGAGGGCUUCACCGCCUAUCAAGUCUUGACAAACUCCGAAUGCGUGUCAGUUCUAUGUCAGGAGUGAGGGCAUGGGUGCUAAGGUCCAUGUCCUAAAGGAGAACAAUCCGGACCAACAGCUAAGGUCCCGAAAUGAAUACUAAGUUGAACUAACGAAGUCAGAUUGCUAAGACAGCUAGGAUGUUGGCUUGGAAGCAGCCAUUCAUUUAAAGAGUGCGUAACAGCUCACUAGUCGAGGAGUUUGGCGUGGAUAAUAAUCGGGCAUAAGUAUUCUACCGAAGCUUUGGGAUGAGAAAUCAUCGGUAGGGGAGCAUUCCACUCGGCGUCGAAGGUGAAGCGCGAGCUUUGCUGGAGCGUGUGGAAAAGCAAAUGUAGGUAUAAGUAACGAUAAAGGGGGUGGGAAACCCCCUCGCCGAAAGACUAAGGUUUCCUGAUCAACGCUAAUCGGAUCAGGGUAAGUCGGGUCCUAAGGCUCAGCCGAACGGCGAGGCCGAUGGCAGAACCGGUUAAUAUUCCGGUACUACCUGUGGGAGUGACGUGGAGACGGAGUCGUGACAGCGCCGCGGACUGACGGAAUAGUCCGUUGAAGGGUGUAGAUGCUGAUUGUUCCAGGCAAAUCCGGAGCAAGAGUCGAACCUGAUAGUAUGGAGCGUUCUUAGAACAAUCCAAUAGUGCGUGUAAUCAUACUUCCAAGAAAAUCCGCUAAACUUAAUCCUGCAGGUACCCGUACCGCAAACGGACACACGUAGUCGGGUUGAAUAUACUAAGGCGCUUGAGUGAUUCACGGUUAAGGAACUAGGCAAACUGACCCUGUAACUUCGGGAUAAAGGGUCCUCGCUUUACGGCGAGGCGCAGAGAAUAGGUCCAGGCAACUGUUUAACAAAAACACAGGGCUGUGCAAAAUUGAAAGAUGAAGUAUACAGCCUGACACCUGCCCGGUGCUGGAAGGUUAAGAGGAGAUGUCAUCGCAAGAGAAGCAUUGAAUUGAAGCCCCAGUAAACGGCGGCCGUAACUAUAACGGUCCUAAGGUAGCGAAAUUCCUUGUCGGGUAAGUUCCGACCUGCACGAAUGGUGUAAUGAUCUGGACGCUGUCUCAACC